CUUCAAGGUACAAGCUCAAGCUGCAAACAACUUCGUUUUGUUCAUAGCGUCAUCUCGUUUGGCUUAUCAAAGCGUCCUUUUUUUCCUGUUGUAAAUUGCGUCGUGUUUGGCAUCUUUAUUAUUAUCGAAGAUUGUGCUCAGGGAUAAGUAAUAGUAUAUAAAUACAAAAGUAUUUUUAUAUUAGGUAGCUAAUAAUUUGAUAAUACAACCCGAAUCUCUUUUGAUAUAAUGGCUGACUCUAACGAACAGCCCCCGGCUAAGAAAAGCCGCUAUGAAUCUCCUAAAGAGGAUGAUGCCCCCCCCACGUUGAAGGCACAGCCUUCAUCAGUAGAGAAAGAGGACGUGGUCAAUUCCACCACAGCCACAAAUGGCAGUCCUCUGAAAAUUAAGUCUUCUGAUAAAGAUGAUGUGGAUCCGGAGAUAGAUUCCACUACCAACGGGGAUAAAUCUCCGUCUGAGCAGGAGAAGGAGGAAGAGGAGGAGGAAAAGGAAGAGGAGGAGGAGAAAGAAGAGGAGGAGGAGGAGGAGAAAGAAGAGGAGGAGGAGGAGAAAGAAGAGGAGGAGGAAGCCGAAGAUGAGGAUGACGAUGGAGAUAAAGAUGAAGGAGAUAAGGAUAAAGAUGAUGAUUCAGGUGACGAAAAUAAUGCCAAAAGUGACGAUGAUGGUGGAAAAAGUGACGAUGAUGGUGGAAAAAGUGACGAUGAUGGACCCGGAAGUGACGACGAAACGAAAAGCGACGAGGACAAAGAGAAAACUGCUUUUGAUACUGAUGAUGACGAUAAAUCAAUUUCAUCGGAUGAAGAUGCCGAUUUAAUCGAAUCACGAAGCAAGAAAGAGAUACCUCUUGAAGCUUUCAAUAUGGAUGAAGAGAAAGACCUGGGAAAAUUUGACAAAGACGGACAUUUCGUCUGGAAUUCCAAAACUCGAGAGCCCACUGAUGCUUGGCUGGAAGGCGAGGGCUCUAAGCCAGUAACAGUAAAUGCAAGGGCCAGCAAACGAUCCCAAAAGAUCCGUAUGAAAGUAGUGGAGGAUGAAGAUACACCUAGCGACGAAGUUUUGAAGGAAAGGCUGAUCAUCAUUGAAAACUUGAUGAUUGAGGAUGAUGAGACAGUACAAGGAGCUAUUGCUCGCAUACAGCUCAAUCGCAUAGAUAAGAAAUCGACUGCUUCGGAGAGACUGGCCAGCAAAAAGGCUGGUGGAUCAUACACCAAAGACUGUAGCAAGGACUGUGAGGAAAAUCCCCUCUCGAAGUUAUUAGAUGCAGUUGACGAAUUCCCCGUGCAGAGCGAUAUUUUUUCUGUAACCAAAAGCGAAAUUUCUUCCAUUAUCGCUUCACCUGUUGAAUUUGAGCAAUUCAAGAGGAAGGCCUAUCCACUGCUAAUCGAUAUAACAUCUGAAGGAAGCGCCGAUAGCGACAAUGGAGGGAAGAGAUCCCCUAUCAUGUUGUCCUCAGAUGAAGAGGACGAAGUGGUAGAUGAAGAAGAAGCUGGCAACGGAAUAGUUGUCAUGGAGAGAGAUGAAAUGGAUGACGAUGACGACAACGACAACGUCGAGGGAAAGGAAGCGGCUAAGGAACAGGAGCCGAUGGACAUGUUUGCAGACUAAAUCUGCCAAUUAAUUUUUCUAUUCAGUCAAGUUUUCGGUGCUUUAUGCCAAAAUUACACUUUAUUAUUGUACAGGUUAUUGUAACCUGGUUACCAUUGAUUAAUUAAUUAAUAUGUUCAAAGUUUAAUUAUAUCAGUAGUAUUAAGUUUGAAAGAAUAGUAGAAAAACAGUUAAGUUUGGACAAGCCAUUGGCUGAUUACAAGUAUUAAGUUGUUACCAUUCCAUUGAAGGGAUGGAUGUCCCUUCUAUACCUUCCAUAAGAAGGGAUAUAGUAAUAAUUUUAUAACGUAAUAAGAACUGAUUUUUUUGUACCUGUUAGUUUAUUAUCCUUUAAUAACUUGCUGAUAAGUUUUGGUACUUGAAGUUGUCGUUGUCGAGGUGUUGUGUCGUAAUUCUAUUCACUUGUCGAGGUCGUGUCGUUGUCGAGGUAUUGUGUCGUAAUUCUAUUUGAACAUCGAUUCACUUGUAUUUCAUGUCGCUCAACUUUCAACUAAGAUUUGCAAGAGUAGAGAAAUAAGAGGUCUCAAUUUUGUAAUCAUUCAUAAUGUGAAAACGAUUAAUCUUUCAAGCUAAAAACAAUGACAAUCUUUUCAAAAGAUGCAUGGUGUCACAUACAUUAGGUAUGUGAUAUAAUCUAUGAUACACUAUCAUUCACUAACUCUGACGUGAUCUCAUGCAGUGAGAUGUUCAUGGAUCAAGUAAGAUAUCUUAUCUAUCUAUCUUGAAUCCAUCCACAUAAGUGACCUGAAUAUUAUUCAAUUUACUUGUGUGGAUGGUUUCAAUGACUAUUUCAUUGACCUAUUUCACUAUAUCAUCUAUCUUUGGAAAAGAUUGUCAUCGUCCUAAGUAAUCUUUCGGUGUUAGACUAUCCAGCAGGCUAAAAAAUUAUCACCAAUGAAAAGUUUUUUAGCCUGUUGCACAGCCUUAAUGAUUGAUAAUAAUGCUUCUCAUGUUUUGAUUUAUUUACCAUUCACAUUGAAAAUAAGAUAUAAUCGUUAAGAAAUGUGUUGACCAAAUUGCUUCUGUAUAUCUAUUUUGCAACUGGUUUCCAAUACCAGGUUGCAGAAACGUCAUUCUAUCUCAUGUUGGAUGUUUUCUAUCGAUGUUCCUAUUGUAAAAUGUUGAUGUAUUUUUCUACUUUUGUAUUGUAAAUAAACUCAUUCUGACACGCCAAAAAUAUGGAAUUGAUUGAAAUAUUUAUUGUUGAUGUUAAACAAUAAUUCAUAACCUCCUGUACAACUUGUUGAAAGGGAAAAUAUACACUUAUUG
rnacentral:misc_RNA from 1 species